rnacentral:sRNA from 1 species
AUUAUGUCUUCUAUACUUAAAAUUUUUUUAAUGGUGCAACUUCUGUAGGAGUUCCAACAACAUAUCAACAGAAUAUCAUUAAAUUGUUAAAGGCAAAGGCAAUACCGACGUUCAGGUGUUCAACAUCGAACAUCAAACCAUCUACCAUCUGCAAUCUGAAAUCUGAAAUGCGGCAAAGGACAUCCCGAAUUUAGGAAGGCUAUUUUUUCUCUCCGAGACUUAAUUGAUUAUCUGAAGGAGUG